rnacentral:lncRNA from 1 species
UGGCCAGAAGCCUACACAUCAUCCUUCUCUCCUGUCUUUUGCUUUCUGUGUCCAAACAAUGACAAAAAUCCCAAAUCACCUAUGUCCCCACAUAUUCUUGGGAAGCUGUUCCUUCCUUUCAGAAAGUAGAACACUAGAUAGACCUGGGUUGGACAGGUACAGGCCUUAGAGAAGGACAGAGCUGUGUUGAAAUCCUGCCUCUACUUCUUGUUGACUAGGUGACUUUGGACAGCUCUCUUAAUUCACCUUAUCUACAAAAUGUAGAUUAUACUCUACUUUGAAGAAUAAUUGUGAAAAUCAGAAAUGAUGAGAACACUUAGUACUUAAUGAUAGUAUUCAUUAUAAUGAUAAUAACAAUGAUUAUUUCUGGAUCUACUGUUAUUGCUGUAGUCUAGGACAGUGUCUUCUCUCAGCUGGAUCAUGGCAUCAGCUUCUGCACUGGACUCCCUAACUUCACUUCCCAUCCAUACUGUCAAAUCUGCUUUUCAGAAAGUAGUCAGAUGUUUUUUGAAAAUGCAGAUCUGAUCAUGACACUUACCUGCCUGGAACUCUACCCAAAACACUGGUCACUUGCUCCCAUGCUUUAUUCAAGCAGUUCCCUCUGCCUCUGCCCGGAUGUCCACUCUCCCUCCGCCCCCUCAUAUCCUAUCUGACAAAUCUAUGUCCUUCCCACCCAGUGACAGUGUCAGCCACCCUGCCAUGGGGAUGUCUGUUUAUCUGGAGUCAAGUCAGCUCCUUAAGUCAGGAGCAGGUCUGAUUGUGUGUGGCCCCUGCCUCGCUGUUCAGAGGUUGGCCUGGAACAGUUUCAGGCACUUGCCCAAGGUCACACAGUGGGUUUGCUGCAGGGUCCAGGCUCAAACCCAGGCUUGUUGUCUUCCAGCUCAAGACCCUUCCUCCACACAUGCCACUCUGCCCCAGAGCCAACGGCUGGUGGUCUGGGAGUGGAGGAGCUUCCCCAGGGCAGGGCGGUCGGCAACCUGAGGACAUCACACCUCCCAUCUGGUGCUGCACCGGAUAAGUGGAGGAGGAUAAAAUUAUCCACUGCCCAUGUCCUGUAUCUCCUCAUCCGACAUGGACUAGAGAUAAAAAAUGAACGACACAAAAUCCAAUCUUCU